GCAGUCGCCCUGCGCGCCUCCCCGCGAGGCUUGUUUUCUAGCGCCUCUGGUGGGCCGCCUCCCGCAGGCCUGGUGUGAGCCUGGGGUCCGUUCUCACAGCUGGAUCUGGGGUCUGAAUGCCGCGCCCUCUGGAGAGCCACAGAUGGGUCUCCGCUGAUGCUUCUCUCAAUUUCCUCUAAGAGCGAGAGCUCCGGGAAAGGAGCCGAUCCUGGUGGAAGACUACAGGUCUGAGUCCACUGGACGAAAAACGAGGCUCCUUGGAUUAGAGACCAUCCUGAGGACAUCCUUGGGAGCCAUGUGCUGAAGAUGGCCAAGCCACAGGAUGAAAGGAGCUGCAUCUUUGAGUCACCACUGGAGAAAGGUCUCUCUAAAUGGAUUUGCAGAGACGUCUUCUCGAAUACUCCCCUUCUAAGUUCCACUUGUAAUCCACUUCUUCUAUUCUCCCAGCAAUCAAUGUGGUUUGGGGAAAUUCCAGAAUCUCAUAAUACCUUGGUCAUGGGUAAAUAAGGAAAGGACCUUUACAUACAUGUGAUGCAAAGCAGAUCAAAACAAGCAGAGCAGCCUAAGAGCAGCAAGACCCCAAAGGAUAAGGGAAGUCCUGCAGAAGAGCAGAGCGGUGCUGCAAAGGCAGGCAGGGACGGGAUUUUGCCAUGUUGCCCAGGUUGGUCUCGAACUCCUGGGCUCAAGCUACACCCGCCCGCCUCGGCCUCCCAAAGUUGUAGGAUUAAGGUGUGAGCCACUGUGUCCAGCAGAUAUAAUGUUUUUAAAAGUUUGAGAGUUAAUAUGCUCUCUGGUGUGCCCUAGGUCCCACUACUCCUAUUGCCUUAAAACUCACGCAGUACACAUUUGUCUUCCAUGGGCUUCAGUUGUAAGAGAACCCUUUCUACUCUUUGCUGUUCACAAGUCUCCUUUUAAACAGAGCUUGUUCCCAAUGCUGUUUUGUUUUGCCCUCUGCCAUGUUCUUCCGGCCAUCACCUCCUGUGGGGAAAAGAGAGAGAGAUCACAUUGUUACUGUGUCUGUGUAGAAAGAAGUAGACAUAGGAGACUCCAUUUUGUUCUGUACUAAGAAAAAUUCUUCUGCCUUGAGAUGCUGUUAAUCUAACCCUAGCCCCAACCCUGUGCUCCCUGAGACAUAUGCUGUGUCAACUCAGGGUUAAAUGGAUUAAGGGCUGUGCAAGAUGUGCUUUGUUAAAGAAAUGCUUGAAGGCAGCAUGCUCGUUAAGAGUCAUCUCCACUCCCUAAUCUCAAGUACUCAGGGACACAAAACACUGAGGAAGGCCACAGGGACCUCUGCCUAGGAAAGCCAGGUAUUGUCCAAGGUUUCUCCCCAUGUGAUAGUCUGAAAUGUGGCCUCGUGGGAAGGGAAAGACCUGACCGUCCCCCAGCCCGACACCCGUAAAGGGUCUGUGCUGAGGAGGAUUAGUAAAAGAGGAAGGAACGCCUCUUUGCAGUUGAGACAAGAGGAAGGCAUCUGUCUCCUGCUCGUCCCUGGGCAAUGGAAUGUCUCAGUGUAAAACCCGAUUGUAUAUUCCAUCUACUGAGAUAGGGGAAAACUGCCUUAGGGCUGGAGGUGGGACAUGCUGGCAGCAAUACUGCUCUUCAAGUCAUUGAGAUGUUUAUGUGUAUGCAUAUCUAAAGCACAGCACUUAAUUCUUUACCUUGUUUAUGAUGCAGAGACCUUUGUUCACGUGUUUACCUGCUGACCUUCUCUCCACUAUUAUCCUUUGACCCUGCCACAUCCCCCUCUCCGAGAAACACCCAAUAAUGAUCAAUAAAUACUAAGGGAACUCAGAGGCCGGUGGGAUCCUCCGUAUGCUGAACACCGGUCCCCUGGACCCCUUUUUUUCUUUCUCUAUACUUUGUCUCUGUGUCUCUUUCUUUUCCAAGUCUCUCAUUCCACCUAACGAGAAACAACCACAGGUGUGGAGGGGCAGCCCAACCCUUCAACCUACCUAUCUUAUCUCUUCCAUUAUCUAUCCACAUAUGUCCUCUGUAUUUUUUUGAGUAACAUUUAUAAGCAUAAGUCCUUAGGUAGCUAUGCCACUUACAUAAUGAACUAGAAAAGGUAACCAAACAGAAUAGGGUUGUACUCAGAUAUACCUUCUACAAGUUUGUGUUACACAUAUUUACACAUAUUUAAAAAUAUAUACAUAUUAUUAUUGUGCUGUGUGGUUAUUAGGCAAACUCAAUAAGCAGUUCUUAUAAAGUAUACUCAAUGUAACUUUUAUAAACUUACCAUAUUUUAUAGUUAUUCUGUUUUUAUUAGCUGCUAUAAACUACCUGGGUGUCUUGCAUGAGUCAUUUUAUUGUAAUGUUUUUGUAUCUGUUGAAUGAGGAGUUAGAAGGCAUCAUCUUUAAGGAGCUUUACAGGUACAUGUCCAGGGCUCAAUAAUUUUAUUAUUAUUUCCUGGACAGAUAAAACCUAAGCAGGUGAAGGGGAAAGAAUAAAAGUGCAGGGUGGAAGUUGCUUGAAUGCUAACUGGGUCAACGAUCUCCCAGAAAACCCCUGUAAAAGAAACCUAAGAACCUACAUCACCAGGAGACCAUUGGGACCAGUUCCUCUGGAAUCCCUGAGGCCAGAUAAUCAGCUGAAGCUUUACAUUCUGUCCCUUUCUGGUCAUGACUUUCUCCACAGUCUGCUUGGUGCCUCCUCCUCUGUGACUCUAAAUUCUUAGGAUCAACCCCUCUUGCAUAUGCACAUCCGCAGUGCCUGUGGGAUACGGUGUGGUGUGGGGAGGAAACUCUCUUCUGCCUUAAUAUUUUCCUGUGUGCCCCAGGCCUUGACGGAAUCCUGUCUCUCCAUAAUGUUGCUUUUCGAGGAGACUGAUUGAUUGAGAUGGCGUCUCACUUUGUCGCCCAGGCUGGAAUGCAGUGGCGUGAUCUCGGCUCACCAACCUCCACCUCCAAGGCUCGAGUGAUUCUCCCACUUAAGUCUCUUGAGUAGCUGGGACUACAGGUGCAUGCCACCACGCCUGACAAAUUUUUUUAUUUUUUGUAGAGAUGAGGUUUCGCCAUGUUGACCAGGCUGGUCUCAAACUCCUGGACUCAAGUGAUCUGCCCACCUCGGCCUCCCAAAGUACUGGGAUUACAGGCAUGAGCCAAUGUGCCCGUCCUGAGGAGUUUUCUUCUGGAAUUCCUGCUGGGUUUUUGUAGUCAGUCCUCUCCCCAUUUCCCACAUUGGCUCUUGCAGACCUUCCUUUUCCCCAUUUCUAUUUGCUACCAUGUCAGACAUGACUUUUGCCAUAGGAUCUCUAUUCUACUAUAGAGGAAACCAAAGCCAUCAGUAGAAAUUUCACUAACAUGGAAUCAGAUUUAUAGAAGAAAGGGGGAGGAAAGUUUUGCCUUAACACCUGGAAGGGUUUCGUUUCUUUUAGUAGCUGGGAGACAGAAACAUAAGAAAGUAGCUUAGUAAGCUUUCUGCUGUUCAACUGAUGAUGUGUGAGCUGUCAGUAGUUCAAACUAGUCAUUAUCUUUAUGAAUUAAUUAUGUAAUAACUUAAACAAUGUCAUAAACCUUCAAAUCAG